ACCAAACAAUGUCAUCCCGGAGCAACCCCCUCUAUCUCACACUAACCAGAUCUAAAAAAAACCCUCUCAAAUAUGUAAUCUAUUAUUUUCAGAAGCCCUAAGAGAAAGGCAAAUAAUCUCUUCUCUAUAGUAACUGAGGGGAAAACAGUUUACCAUAUUUGUUCUGAAAUAACAAAACCCAAGGAGGAACAACUCUCUCUGAGGGAGAUGAGGAAUUUGAAGCCAGACUCUUGGGCUGUUAACGUAUGGCUAAGUGGUGAUGUGGUGACAACCUUGAAUGCUAGUCCUGGAGGAAAAACCACCAGCAGCUGGCGCCAUGGGAGGCUUUGCUUAGGGGACACAGCCGGGUUCUGCCUGGAUGCUGCAUCCCAAGGGAGGCAUUGAGGUGCAGCUGUGAGGACUCCAAACCCCAUGUCCAGAAGGAUGAGUAAAAACACAAUUCCCUGCC